rnacentral:snRNA from 1 species
GGAUGUGAGGGCGAUCUGGCUGCGACAUCUGUCACCCCAUUGAUCGCCAGGGUUGAUUCGGCUGAUCUGGCUGGCUAGGCGGGUGUCCCCCUCCUCCCUCACCGAUCCAUGUGCGUCCCUCCCGAAGCUGCGCACUCGGUCGAAGAGGACGACCUUCCCCCCCGAGGAGAGGACCGGUCUUCGGUCAAGGGUAUACGAGUAGCUGCGCUCCCCUGCUAGAACCUCCAAACAAGCUCUCAAAAUUUAUAUCAGAUAUUUACAUCCUUCAUAGAAUUUCCCAAUGGAAUAAAAAGUGGCUUGCUUCCCCUGUGC